rnacentral:tRNA from 4 species
GGGGGUAUAGCUCAGCUGGGAGAGCGUCUGAUUUGCAUUCAGAAGGUCGCAGGUUCGAUCCCUGUUACCUCCACCA